rnacentral:rRNA from 1 species
UACAUAGGGCGCAAGCGUUAUCCGGAAUUAUUGGGCGUAAAGAGCUCGUAGGCGGUUUGUCGCGUCUGCCGUGAAAGUCCGGGCUCAACUCCGGAUCUGCGGUGGGUACGGGCAGACUAGAGUGAUGUAGGGGAGACUGGAAUUCCUGGUGUAGCGGUGAAAUGCGCAGAUAUCAGGAGGAACACCGAUGGCGAAGGCAGGUCUCUGGGCAUUAACUGACGCUGAGGAGCGAAAGCAUGGGGAGCGAACAGG